AUGCCCUCUAUUUACAUCAAUAUUAUAUUAGCAUACACCAUAUCACUGCUGGGAAUAUUAGCCUACUGAUCCCACCUAAUAUCAUCCCUAUUAUGCCUAGAAGCCAUAAUACUAUCAAUAUUCAUCAUAAAAUACCCUUAAAACUUUAAACAUAUAUUUUGCUCUAGUAUCCAUAAUACCCAUCAUCCUUCUAGUAUUUGCUGCCUGCAAAGCCACAGUGGGCCUUGCCUUACUAGUUUUAAUCUCCAACACAUAUGGCCUAGAUUAUGUACAAAAUCUAAAUUUAUUUCA
rnacentral:lncRNA from 1 species